rnacentral:sRNA from 13 species
UGUCGAGGUGGAACAGGAUCGAUAAAAUUAUACCAUAUUAACAAUAAUCGCAAAUAGUAAUGAUGAUGCCGAUCGUUGUAAUCAACAAAGAUAUUUAUGAUAAGACAGUACAGAAAAUUAAUGAGUUAAUGUUGAUACAAGCGAUCGCAACACACCAGAUU